UUGCUUCAUUAGCACACAUACUAAAAUUAGAACUAUAGGGAGAAUGUCAGCAGGCUCCUUGAACAAGAAAGAUCUACAAAGUCAUGAAACACUGCACAUUUUU
ensembl:snRNA U6 U6 spliceosomal RNA